rnacentral:rRNA from 1 species
UACGGAGGAUGCGAGCGUUAUCCGGAUUUAUUGGGUUUAAAGGGUGCGUAGGCGGGCUUUUAAGUCAGCGGUAAAAAUUCGGGGCUCAACCCCGUCCGGCCGUUGAAACUGGGGGCCUUGAGUGGGCGAGAAGAAGGCGGAAUGCGUGGUGUAGCGGUGAAAUGCAUAGAUAUCACGCAGAACCCCGAUUGCGAAGGCAGCCUCCCGGCGCCCUACUGACGCUGAGGCACGAAAGUGCGGGGAUCGAACAGG